UACGUAGGGGGCAAGCGUUGUCCGGAUUUAUUGGGCGUAAAGAGCGUGUAGGCGGCUUUACAGGUCCGUUGUGAAAUCUCGGGGCUCAACCCCGAAACUGCACUUGAUACUGGGUAACUCGAGUACUGGAGGGGAGACUGGAAUUUACGGUGUAGCAGUGAAAUGCGUAGAUAUCGUAAGGAAGACCAGUGGCGAAGGCGAGUCUCUGGACAGUUACUGACGCUGAGGCACGAAGGCUAGGGGAGCAAACGGG
rnacentral:rRNA from 1 species